UGCUUUUACAGAGGAAGAACCCUCCUUACGAGUAAGGAGCUGACGGUACUCUAUGAAUAAGGAUCGGCUAACUCCGUGCCAGCAGCCGCGGUAAUACGGAGGAUCCAAGCGUUAUCCGGAAUCAUUGGGUUUAAAGGGUCCGUAGGCGGGUUUAUAAGUCAGUGGUGAAAGUCUGCAGCUUAACUGUAGAACUGCCAUUGAUACUGUAGACCUUGAAUUAGUAUGAAGUGGUUAGAAUGUGUAGUGUAGCGGUGAAAUGCAUAGAUAUUACACAGAAUACCGAUUGCGAAGGCAGAUCACUAAUACUAUAUUGACGCUGAUGGACGAAAGCGUAGGUAGCGAACAGGAUUAGAUACCCUGGUAGUCUACGCCGUAAACGAUGGUUACUAGCUGUCCGGCCUAAUUGAGGGCUGGGUGGUUAAGCGAAAGUGAUAAGUAACCCACCUGGGGAGUACGUUCGCAAGAAUGAAACUCAAAGGAAUUGACGGGGGCCCGCACAAGCGGUGGAGCAUGUGGUUUAAUUCGAUGAUACGCGAGGAACCUUACCAGGGCUUAAAUGCAGUCUGACGUAUUUGGAAACAGAUAUUUCUUCGGACAGAUUGCAAGGUGCUGCAUGGUUGUCGUCAGCUCGUGCCGUGAGGUGUCAGGUUAAGUCCUAUAACGAGCGCAACCCCUGUGGUUAGUUGCCAGCACGUAAUGGUGGGAACUCUAGCCAGACUGCCGGUGCAAACCGUGAGGAA
rnacentral:rRNA from 1 species